rnacentral:rRNA from 1 species
UACGUAGGGGGCUAGCGUUGUCCGGAUUUAUUGGGCGUAAAGAGCGUGUAGGCGGCCAUGUAGGUCCGGUGUGAAAACUCGAGGCUUAACCUCGAGAUGUCAUCGGAAACCAUUUGGCUAGAGUCCGGAAGAGGAGACUAGAAUUCCUGGUGUAGCAGUGAAAUGCGUAGAUAUCAAGAGGAACACCUGCGGCGAAGGCGGGUUGCUGGGCCGACACUGACGCUGAGGCGCGAAAGCUAGGGGAGCGAACGGG